rnacentral:rRNA from 1 species
AAGCGUAACAAGGUCUCCGUAGGUGAACCUGCGGAGGGAUCAUUACAAGUGACCCCGGUUUACCACCGGGAUGUUCAUAACCCUUUGUUGUCCGACUCUGUUGCCUCCGGGGCGACCCUGCCUUCGGGCGGGGGCUCCGGGUGGACACUUCAAACUCUUGCGUAACUUUGCAGUCUGAGUAAACUUAAUUAAUAAAUUAAAACUUUUAACAACGGAUCUCUUGGUUCUGGCAUCGAUGAAGAACGCAGCGAAAUGCGAUAAGUAAUGUGAAUUGCAGAAUUCAGUGAAUCAUCGAAUCUUUGAACGCACAUUGCGCCCCCUGGUAUUCCGGGGGGCAUGCCUGUUCGAGCGUCAUUUCACCACUCAAGCCUCGCUUGGUAUUGGGCAACGCGGUCCGCCGCGUGCCUCAAAUCGACCGGCUGGGUCUUCUGUCCCCUAAGCGUUGUGGAAACUAUUCGCUAAAGGGUGUUCGGGAGGCUACGCCGUAAAACAACCCCAUUUCUAAGGUGAUCCUUACC